UACGGUCGCAAGAUAAACUCAAGGAAUGACGGGGCCCGCACAAGCGGUGGAUUAUGUGGAUUAAUUCGAUGCAACGCGAAAACCUUACCUGGCCUUGACAUGUACGGAACUUUCCAGAGAUGGAUUGGUGCCCGAAAGGGAGCCGUAACACAGGUGCUGCAUGGCUGUCGUCAGCUCGUGUCGUGAGAUGUUGGGUUAAGUCCCGCAACGAGCGCAACCCUUGCCAUUAAUUGCCAUCAUUUAGUUGGGCACUUUAAUGGGACUGCCGGUGACAAACCGGAGGAAGGUGGGGAUGACGUCAAGUCCUCAUGGCCCUUAUGGCCAGGGCUUCACACGUAAUACAAUGGUCGGUACAGAGGGUAGCCAACCCGCGAGGGGGAGCCAAUCCCAGAAAGCCGAUCGUAGUCCGGAUUGCAGUCUGCAACUCGACUGCAUGAAGUCGGAAUCGCUAGUAAUCGCGGAUCAGCAUGUCGCGGUGAAUACGUUCCCGGGCCUUGUACACACCGCCCGUCACACCAUGGGAGUGGGUUCCACCAGAAGUAGGUAGUCUAACCGCAAGGGGGACGCUUACCACGGUGGGGUUCAUGACUGGGGUGAAGUCGUAACAAGGUAGCCGUAA
rnacentral:rRNA from 1 species